CUCUCCCCAUCUCGAAACCUCUCUUCGACGAAAGGCGAUUUCGACGUCUCCUUCGGUGGCUCGCGUCGGCGACGUCUCCUUUUCUCAGUUCGUUAGACGUCUCCUUCGGUGGCUCUCCUGAAAUCGAAAGUUUGUUGGUUCUCGUCGAAUCUGUCUCUCGGUGGGUCUUCUCCUCCAAGUUUUCCCUCGGUGGCUCACCUCAAAUCGAAAGAUAGAAGGAUCAAGGUUCAUCGAGCAAAGGUUCAUCGAGCACAGGAGUACAAUGCACAAAUAAGAGGAACAAGUCACACACAUACAGAAAUGGAAGCAAGAAAACUGAUUGUUUGUGGCCUCUCAGCAAGCAGAAUCAGACCACCUCUCCCACAAGAAGAUACAUAUGAUGAUGUUGAGGAUAUCAUACCAACUGAAGCACAAGUGGUGGAGAUUUCAGAUGAAGAAGAAGAUAUGGUGGAGUUAUCAAGAGAAUAAUACAUGAGAAAUAUAAGCUACUUGAUUAGGGUGGAGGAAUCAGAAGAUGAUAUUGAACCUGAAUUCAGAAGAAUGCUGAAAAUGAUGCAUGAGGAAGAGAAUGCAUGAGGAAGAGAAGAAGCUGAGAGAGGAGAAGUUCAAGGUAUUGAAGUUGGCAAUCAAACUAGAAGAUGGACAAUCCUCUAAGGGUAAUGGUAAGAAGAGGUCUAGAAAAAACUGAGAGAGGAGACGCAAGGAAGCAAGCAACUUUGUAUUUUGUUUUUGUGUUUAAAACUUGGGACUUUUGUAAUUUUGACUUUGGUUUCAAACUCUCUUUUGGAUGUUUUAGACCCUUUUGGUAAUGCUUUCAAACCUUUUUGGUAA